rnacentral:rRNA from 1 species
GACAGAGGUGCCGAGCGUUGUUCGGAUUCAUUGGGCGUAAAGGGUGCGUAGGCGGCGCGGUAAGUCGGGUGUGAAAUCUCGGGGCUUAACUCCGAAACUGCAUUCGAUACUGCCGUGCUUGAGGACUGGAGAGGAGACUGGAAUUUACGGUGUAGCAGUGAAAUGCGUAGAGAUCAUGAGGAAGACCAGUGGCGAAGGCGGGUCUCUGGACAGUUCCUGACACUGAGGCACGAAGGCCAGGGGAGCAAACGGG